rnacentral:lncRNA from 1 species
AGCACCGCCCGGGCCAAAGCGGCGUCGGGGGCUGCGGGCGGGGCGGGGAACGGGAGCGCGGCGAGGAGCAGAGGAGGAGGAGGAGGAAAGGUAAAAGAGGGCCGGGAGGGGGGGAAGCUCGGCUCCUCGGAGGGGUCCGCUGUCGGCGCGAACGCAGGUCGCUGCUCUACACGCGGGCACGGCGCGAGCUACGGGCACGCACCGAAGCUGAGCUUCGCCCUGACGGUGUGACCCUUCUGCUACGCGGAGAUUUGCCGGGUUUGCUUUGCAACUCGUUUUCCAUCCACGGUGCUGUUUCACCGGGGGAAGCGCGCGGUCGCAGAAAUAAACCGCUCUGGUGACAAAGCUGAAAGCCACUCUCCUAGCUGAUGACUGCAACAAACAAGGAGCAUUCGAGAAACACCACGUGCCAUGGCAGUCUGAUGCCUGCAGAAUUUCUCCUUGAGCUUUUCUGAACGUCAGCUGAAGGCUUAAGAGGUGAUGUCUGAGGAACAACCAUAAGUUGCCAAGCUGGAGCUUCCUCUAGUUCAUGUGGCCCUCAUUUACACCCAAAGAGCGAGAGGAGACCAAGGGCCGUUAAUUUUAAGACAUCUAUAAUAAAAAAAGUUAUCUCUUGUCGGCAGUGGCAGGGAAAAAAAGAUAAAAGGUGCUGUGUGGUGCGAUUGCUGGCAGAUGGCACUGUUGGGAGCCCAGAUCUUCGCGGCGCGCAGCAGCAUGGCAGGGAGGGGAUGGGGCUGCUUCCACAAUUAACCUGAACCACAGAUCUGUUUACAGCAAUCUAAUCCAUAUGUGCUAAUAUCUUGCUGCUACACGAGUGAAACUCUCUCUUGGAUUGUUCUCAGAAUGUACUUUCUGCACAUCUGGCUUCAUAUGAACAGGGCAUUUGCUUCUACUGUUCCUGCAAGGAAUACAGCAUACCUUAUUCCAUCUGGAAGCAAAACAAAAGACAGCAUUACAGUGAAAUCCUCAGUAUUGUUAUUUUCCAGAUACAAAGCUCAAGUAAUUUAAGAAUCCUUCCCUUCCCUUCCCUUCCCUUCCCUUCCCUUCCCUUCCCUUCCCUUCCCUUCCCUUCCCUUCCCUUCCCUUCCCUUCCCUUCCCUUCCCUUCCCUUCCCUUCCCUUCCCUUCCCUUCCCUUCCCUUCCCUUCCCUUUCCCCUUUCCUUUCCUUUUUUUCUUCCUUUUUUUUUCUUUUUUUUUUCUUUUUAAAUAAAAUUGUCUGUGCAACUUCUUGGCUUCUGAUUUACUUGAAAGUACAACCAUUUCAUGCAAUAUCCAAUCUAUUCAACUGACUAUCACACAUAUAGGACAAUGAAAUUACAGUCAUAAACAACUUCUUUUC